rnacentral:rRNA from 1 species
UACGUAGGGUGCAAGCGUUUGUCCGGAAUUAUUGGGCGUAAAGGGCUCGUAGGCGGUCCAUCGCGUCGGGAGUGAAAAGCUGGGGCUUAACCCCAGUCCUGCUUCCGAUACGGGUGGACUAGAGGUAGGUAGGGGAGAUCGGAAUUCCUGGUGUAGCGGUGGAAAUGCGCAGAUAUCAGGAGGAACACCGGUGGCGAAGGCGGUUCUCUGGGCCUUAGCCUGACGCUGGAGGAGCGAAAGCGUGGGGAGCAAACAGG